rnacentral:lncRNA from 1 species
CGAACUUGGAUCCUUCCACUUUCAAGGGACAGGGACGGCCCCAGCACCAGGCAGCUGCAUCCUGGUCCGUCUUGGGCACACCUGCCCGCUUCGAGACUUGAACCCUGAGGCAGGAACAUCUGGAGGCCCAGGGCCCACAGGUGGAUUCCUCUGAGCAUGACGACUGGGUGCCAGGACCAAGGACCUGGAUGGACAGCCACACGGGGCUCAGACUGCCUUGUUCGACCGGGAUCUGGAGCCAGCCCCAAGUACUGACAGGCAGGCGGCUGGGCACCCUGGAUCACAGGGACCUGAUGAGGACAAGAGGCAGAACUUGAAGCACUGAUCCACUUGUCUGAGCCCUCAGAUGGAGACCAGAGAGAUUGGGCUGGGCAUGGGUGAGUGUGUUGGGGGACAUGAGGGUCUGUCCAGCAAGGUAGCCGGAUGCCUACCUUUCCGUGAGGGGGCUUCAGAAGCAGCUCCUUGCUGGAAGAAGGACCAGAACUCCUUUGUCAGAGAGCCCUGCACUAUUGUUUGAGAAAGCACUGGUCAUCUCCAUCCAAGAGCUGGCUGUGAGGCUGUCAUGGUUUGUGUUUGGCCCGAAGACCCUGAGAUGAAGAUAGCAGAGUGGAGAAGUGGUUCAGACGAGGGAAGGCAGCAAUGAAGUGUAUCGGGGAUGCUUGGGCCGGGGAUUUAGCUCAGUGGUUCUGCCGCCUGCCUUGCAAGCGCAAGGACCCGAGUGAUCCCCAGUACCAAAAAAACCCAACAAAAAAACCCCCAAACAACUAAGAAGACCUCAGACAACCCAGGGUGUGAUGGUCACCUUAACCUCAGGGGAAGAGCAACCAGGAUGCUAAAGCCCAUUUGUCACUGGUGGGGUUGCUCAGUGGCAGAGCACGUCCUUACCAAGCUUGCAGUCCUGGAUUCAAUUGCCUAGAACUAAAGAAAAAAA